rnacentral:rRNA from 1 species
AUGCUGCCUACCAUUCUCGACGAACUAGCCGUGCUAGUUCAUCAACCGGACAUCCUGAACUUUGAGUCCUUCCUUGCUCCUCCUGGCGAUGAUGAAGACACCUCUUCAUUCAGAGUAAUGUGCCUAGCGCAGUGCACAACCAAGCUGGUCCUCUUCGUCUUCUCUUCCGGUGCCGGCGAAUGGGGUGCUGUUACCUUUGACGGCUGGAUCGCUUUGGUGACAAGUCCUGACAACCAGCCUCGAGCCUCUCACUUGACAUGGGCCUCAGGGCGCUACUACGUGCACAAAUGCUUCUGUUGGGCUGUUUAUCCAUCCAACAGGUUGCUCAUGCUUGACACGCGCACCAUGGAGUUCUUUGCUGUCGACCUCCCACGUCAACGUGUCCCUGGCCAAAUGAUCCCAAUAAUGGCUUGUCAACGUGUCCCUGGCUAA